UUGCGGUGAAUACGUUCCCGGGUCUUGUACACACCGCCCGUCAAACCAUGAAAGUGAUCAACACCCGAAGUCCGAUUCGUCGGCCUAAGGUGGGGGGCAUGAUUGGGGUU
rnacentral:rRNA from 1 species